UCCCUUGUGGCUCAGUUGGUAGAGCAUGGCGCAUGCAAUGCCAGCGUUGUGGGUUCAAUUCCUACGGGGGAC
rnacentral:tRNA from 1 species